UGUGUGUGUGUGUGUGUGUGUGUGUGUGUGUGUGUGCAUGUGCGCGCGCGCACCCACGCACCCCACACACACGCC
rnacentral:miRNA from 1 species